AGCUGGUGAUGUGUAGUGUUGUAGUUUAAGGCCUGGUGAUCUGAAGAUUUCGAGAUGUAACGGAAAGUUAGCAAAAACCCCUCUCUGUUAGGAUAGUAAAACCUUCUGUAAUUAGCCAAUAGCACUCAAGUGUGACGUGAGCAGAUGGGAGUAAUACAAUGACCCUAGGUUAUAAAAGGUCAAAUUCUCCUGCAAUAAACGCCAUUGCUUCGCCAUCCAUCACAUUGAUGUCUUGUGGGUAGAGUGGUCCGAGUGGCCAAGGGGGGGCCACCGUGCUGGCUUCUGAACUAGGGUGUCUGCCUUGCUUGAAAAACCAACAAUUGGUGCCGGAAACCCGGGAAGAAAAGUGGGAAAGAAUCCAGAAAGCGAGGAAACCCUGAAAAAACAGAAGCAGCGACCAGGAGAGCUGGAUUUAAUCCAUCUUGGUGAGGGAGACGUCCCUGCAUCUUGAACGAAGAUGGAAUCACUGAUAAAGCAGGUUCAGAAAGGUCACCUGUCCAUCUGACCAGACUGUCUGCCUCUGAACACAUGAGAUCCAGUGAACAGAGAUGUCAUCACACAGCCUUGGUACUCCAGACAUUGAUCAGAAGUGGACCUAUCAGGACACAGUUGUGUUUAAACACUAUACAGACAGUUGCCAACAGAAAUUUUAUGUUGUUAUUAUAAUGUGGUGUCUCUAUCAAUUUCCUCAGUUAUCCUUUGUUUUAAGAUUUAGAAGGGUUUAAAGAACAACUUGAGCAUCAAAGCCCUCAGUCACCGAUUAGCCGCCAGCUGACAUCACGGGAGCAGUGAACACUCCGGGACUGAAUCGUGUUGGAGAAAUUCUGUAGAAGAUUUGGGAGGUGUAGAGACUCCAUCUAACUAUAUACAAAGCAAAUUGUAAUUGUGUGUUUAUUCUUUUAGCAAAUUGCUUUCACGCUUAGACUACAUAUAUACCAGAACACGUGUGUUAAAAGUAGUUAGAUAAUAGUUUCAGGUAAAGUGUUUAGCCUGUGUAGUAAUUGUUAUGUUAGUAUAAAAUAUAAGUAUUUUCCUUUAAGAGGUAGUGUAAGCAUCUUUGAAGGUUCAUUUAACGUUAAUGUUUUAGCUGUGAGUUUGCAAGUAUAGUGUCAUUUACAUAGUAAGCCGCUUAUAGUAAUUGUGCUGUUUAUAGUCAUAACACCUGAAGCAGUGAGCCCCAACCUUGUGAUACAAGCUGAGAACCCAUGAUUUAAUAGUCUAGCCCUUGUAUUUAUACCUAAGCUUUAAUUCCUCUGUUGACUUUUGUGUAUUAGCUGUUAUCAUCCCCAGAAUCCUAUACCACCUGGAUGAAGAGCUUGAGCCUGCAAGUGGAGAGACUCACCCGACUUCAGAAAAGAGAACUGGUGACAGGUGUAACCAUAGCGAUGCUGCUUAACCUGAGAGCAACUGGUGCUGUCACAGGUGUCUCUGUCAUCGUGACCCAACAACAGAGACUGUUUUAGCUACAGAUGACUGUAGAUGAAGAUCUACAGAGAAUUGAGAAAUCCAUAUCCUUUCUAGAAAAAUCAGUCUCCUCACUCUCUGAAGUUGUUUUGCAGAACAGGAAAGGUCUUGACCUUCUAUUCAUGCAGCAAGGAGGCCUCUGCAUCACCCUGAAAGAAGAGUGCUGCUUCUACGCUGACCACACCGGAGUAGUGAGAGACACCAUGGCAGAGCUACGAGACAGGCUGUCUCAGCGAAAAGCAGAGAGAGAAGCUCAACAAAGCUGGUUCCAAUCCUGGUUUGAUCAAUCUCCAUGGCUAACCACCCUGAUGUCUAUCCUGAUUGGACCAGUUGUGAUGAUUUUACUUGUGCUGAUCUUUAGACCAUGUGUUUUAAAUAAGCUUGUGUCCUUUGUUAAGAGCCGACUAGAAAAGGUUAUGCAAUUUUAUAUUAUCCAUUUUUAAUACUUUUAUAUUUUAGCAAAUUAGUUAUUCAUAGAGGGGAGGGCGGAAAUAUGUUGUAGUUUAAGGCCUGGUGAUCUGAAGAUUUCGAGAUGUAACGGAAAGUUAGCAAAAACCCCUCUCUGUUAGGAUAGUAAAACCUUCUGUAAUUAGCCAAUAGCACUCAAGUGUGACGUGAGCAGAUGGGAGUAAUACAAUGACCCUAGGUUAUAAAAGGUCAAAUUCUCCUGCAAUAAACGCCAUUGCUUCGCCAUCCAUCACAUUGAUGUCUUGUGGGUAGAGUGGUCCGCGUGGCCAAAGGGGGGGCCACCGUGCUGGCUUCUGAACUAGGGUGUCUGCCUUGCUUGAAAAAACCAACAGUGUAGAGGGCACCCCUUAACUAUUUCUGCCUUGAAAACUGUCUUGUGAAAUUUUUGAACUUGGGUUGUAUUCCUACAUCACCCAAAUCAGCUGUGUAUUGUUCAGCACAGCUAUUAGUUCCAGGCUCUAAAUAAAUCUAGCAUCUGUGUUGCUCA